UCUUGACUCCGCCCAGCCGCGCCACCCAGGCUGUACAGGAGGCAUGGCUGGGGAGGCCUCAGAAAACUUACAAUCAUGGCAGAAGGUGAAGGGGAAGCCAGCACAUCUUCAUAUGAUGGCAGGAACUUUAUAUGUUAUAGAAGUUAGCCCCAAGAAUGAAAUCGUGUCCUUUGCCAAAACAUGGAUGGAGCUAGAGGCCUUUAUCCUAAGGUGCUCUAUGCUUAGCCCAUCAUAGAUUGUGGCCCUUCAUUCCUGCAUUUGAUGAAUCCAGGGAACCCUCUCUCCAACACCCUUGGCCUCUCUGCAACUUUCUAACAUCAGGCAGAGUCAGAGGCACCAUCCCCAGAAGCUACAAAUCUUCAGCAUUCUCCACUCUGUGAAGUCAGAGGAAUGGCGGGACCAUAGCUCUGAGCUCAUUGGCAAAUACAACUAAUUUCAAUUUCUGGAAUGGAAGCAGUCAGAUAUUCUUCUGACUGCACGCGUAUGUGGGAGUGCCAUGUUGAAGAGUGGAAAAUAUGGAAGAUCAGUCCCUACAAACUUAAUAGGAGAAUGACAUUCAGAUUUCCCGAGUAUUUUGCAUGUCCAACUGAAAACUGAAGUAGGUUUAUGAGAGAAUGCACGCCUACCUGGAUGGGUCUGGGGAGUGUGUCACUGUCACCGCAGAUAAUUGACAAGGGCUGAUCAAAUAGCGAUGCUUUCAAGUCUGUCUCCAAAGCCCCAGAAAAAUCUGAUGCAGGGGAGAGCCUUCUCAUGAGAAAGGGCCAGGACAGCA
rnacentral:lncRNA from 10 species